AUCCAGCUGACGAGUCCCAAGUAGGACGAAGCGCGCGUCCUGGAU
rfam:Schistosoma mansoni strain Puerto Rico chromosome 3, complete genome